GAUGAACGCUGGCGGCGUGCCUAAUACAUGCAAGUCGAGCGAACGGACGAGAAGCUUGCUUCUCUGAUGUUAGCGGCGGACGGGUGAGUAACACGUGGAUAACCUACCUAUAAGACUGGGAUAACUUCGGGAAACCGGAGCUAAUACCGGAUAAUAUUUUGAACCGCAUGGUUCAAAAGUGAAAGACGGUCUUGCUGUCACUUAUAGAUGGAUCCGCGCUGCAUUAGCUAGUUGGUAAGGUAACGGCUUACCAAGGCAACGAUGCAUAGCCGACCUGAGAGGGUGGUCGGCCACACUGGAACUGAGACACGGUCCAGACGCCUACGGGAGGCAGCAGUAGGGAAUCUUCCGCAAUGGGCGAAAGCCUGACGGAGCAACGCCGCGUGGGUGAUGAAGGUCUUCGGAUCGGAAAACUCUGUUAUUAGGGAAGAACAUAUGUGUAAGUAACUGUGCACAUCUUGACGGUACCGAAUCAGAAAGCCACGGCUAACUACGUG
rnacentral:rRNA from 1 species